GAUGAACGCUGGCGGCGUGCCUAAUACAUGCAAGUCGAGCGAACAGAUAAGGAGCUUGCUCCUUUGAAGUUAGCGGCGGACGGGUGAGUAACACGUGGGUAACCUACCUAUAAGACUGGGAUAACUUCGGGAAACCGGAGCUAAUACCGGAUAACAUUUAGAACCGCAUGGUUCUAAAGUGAAAGAUGGUUUUGCUAUCACUUAUAGAUGGACCCGCGCCGUAUUAGCUAGUUGGUAAGGUAACGGCUUACCAAGGCGACGAUACGUAGCCGACCUGAGAGGGUGAUCGGCCACACUGGAACUGAGACACGGUCCAGACUCCUACGGGAGGCAGCAGUAGGGAAUCUUCCGCAAUGGGCGAAAGCCUGACGGAGCAACGCCGCGUGAGUGAUGAAGGGUUUCGGCUCGUAAAACUCUGUUAUUAGGGAAGAACAAAUGUGUAAGUAACUGUGCACAUCUUGACGGUACCUAAUCAGAAAGCCACGGCUAACUGCGUG
rnacentral:rRNA from 1 species